rnacentral:piRNA from 1 species
GGACAAAGAUGCCUGAAUCAAGUCAAA